rnacentral:rRNA from 1 species
UACGUAGGGUGCGAGCGUUGUCCGGAAUUAUUGGGCGUAAAGAGCUUGUAGGCGGUUUGUCGCGUCUGCUGUGAAAUUUCGGGGCUCAACCCCGAACUUGCGGUGGGUACGGGCAGACUAGAGUGUGGUAGGGGAGACUGGAAUUCCUGGUGUAGCGGUGAAAUGCGCAGAUAUCAGGAGGAACACCGAUGGCGAAGGCAGGUCUCUGGGCAAUAACUGACGCUGAGGAGCGAAAGCGUGGGGAGCAAACAGG